GGGUUGUGAGGUUAAGCGACUAAGCGUACACGGUGGAUGCCCUGGCAGUCAGAGGCGAUGAAGGGCGUGCUAAUCUGCGAUAAGCGCCGGUAAGGUGAUAUGAACCGUUAUAACCGGCGAUACCCGAAUGGGGAAACCCAGUGUGAUUCGUCACACUAUCAUUAACUGAAUCCAUAGGUUAAUGAGGCGAACCGGGGGAACUGAAACAUCUAAGUACCCCGAGGAAAAGAAAUCAACCGAGAUUCCCCCAGUAGCGGCGAGCGAACGGGGAGGAGCCCAGAGCCUGAAUCAGCAUGUGUGUUAGUGGAAGCGUCUGGAAAGGCGCGCGAUACAGGGUGACAGCCCCGUACACAAAAGCGCAUGUGCUGUGAGCUCGAUGAGUAGGGCGGGACACGUGGUAUCCUGUCUGAAUAUGGGGGGACCAUCCUCCAAGGCUAAAUACUCCUGACUGACCGAUAGUGAACCAGUACCGUGAGGGAAAGGCGAAAAGAACCCCGGCGAGGGGAGUGAAAAAGAACCUGAAACCGUGUACGUACAAGCAGUGGGAGCACCCUUCGGGGUGUGACUGCGUACCUUUUGUAUAAUGGGUCAGCGACUUAUAUUCUGUAGCAAGGUUAACCGUAUAGGGGAGCCGGAGGGAAACCGAGUCUUAAUUGGGCGUUAAGUUGCAGGGUAUAGACCCGAAACCCGGUGAUCUAGCCAUGGGCAGGUUGAAGGUUGGGUAACACUAACUGGAGGACCGAACCGACUAAUGUUGAAAAAUUAGCGGAUGACCUGUGGCUGGGGGUGAAAGGCCAAUCAAACCGGGAGAUAGCUGGUUCUCCCCGAAAGCUAUUUAGGUAGCGCCUCGUGAAUUCAUCUCCGGGGGUAGAGCACUGUUUCGGCUAGGGGGCCAUCCCGGCUUACCAACCCGAUGCAAACUGCGAAUACCGGAGAAUGUUAUCACGGGAGACACACGGCGGGUGCUAACGUCCGUCGUGAAGAGGGAAACAACCCAGACCGCCAGCUAAGGUCCCAAAGUCAUGGUUAAGUGGGAAACGAUGUGGGAAGGCCCAGACAGCCAGGAUGUUGGCUUAGAAGCAGCCAUCAUUUAAAGAAAGCGUAAUAGCUCACUGGUCGAGUCGGCCUGCGCGGAAGAUGUAACGGGGCUAAACCAUGCACCGAAGCUGCGGCAGCGAACGUAUCACCCAAGACAACUUUACGGAGUUGACGAUUGACGGAGCGAAGCGACGUCAAAGCGUUCAUUAAAGUCGAGUUGGCUUAGGGAUACGUUCGUUGGGUAGGGGAGCGUUCUGUAAGCCUGUGAAGGUGUGUCGUGAGGCAUGCUGGAGGUAUCAGAAGUGCGAAUGCUGACAUAAGUAACGAUAAAGCGGGUGAAAAGCCCGCUCGCCGGAAGACCAAGGGUUCCUGUCCAACGUUAAUCGGGGCAGGGUGAGUCGACCCCUAAGGCGAGGCCGAAAGGCGUAGUCGAUGGGAAACGGGUUAAUAUUCCCGUACUUGGUGUUACUGCGAAGGGGGGACGGAGAAGGCUAUGUUGGCCGGGCGACGGUUGUCCCGGUUUAAGCGUGUAGGUGUGUGUUCCAGGUAAAUCCGGUUCACUUUAACACUGAGGCGUGACGACGAGGCACUACGGUGCUGAAGCAACAAAUGCCCUGCUUCCAGGAAAAGCCUCUAAGCAUCAGGUAACACGAAAUCGUACCCCAAACCGACACAGGUGGUCAGGUAGAGAAUACCAAGGCGCUUGAGAGAACUCGGGUGAAGGAACUAGGCAAAAUGGUGCCGUAACUUCGGGAGAAGGCACGCUGACACGUAGGUGAAGUGAUUUACUCAUGGAGCUGAAGUCAGUCGAAGAUACCAGCUGGCUGCAACUGUUUAUUAAAAACACAGCACUGUGCAAACACGAAAGUGGACGUAUACGGUGUGACGCCUGCCCGGUGCCGGAAGGUUAAUUGAUGGGGUCAGCGCAAGCGAAGCUCCUGAUCGAAGCCCCGGUAAACGGCGGCCGUAACUAUAACGGUCCUAAGGUAGCGAAAUUCCUUGUCGGGUAAGUUCCGACCUGCACGAAUGGCGUAAUGAUGGCCAGGCUGUCUCCACCCGAGACUCAGUGAAAUUGAACUCGCUGUGAAGAUGCAGUGUACCCGCGGCAAGACGGAAAGACCCCGUGAACCUUUACUAUAGCUUGACACUGAACAUUGAGCCUUGAUGUGUAGGAUAGGUGGGAGGCUUUGAAGUGUGGACGCCAGUCUGCAUGGAGCCGACCUUGAAAUACCACCCUUUAAUGUUUGAUGUUCUAACGUGGACCCGUAAUCCGGGUUGCGGACAGUGUCUGGUGGGUAGUUUGACUGGGGCGGUCUCCUCCUAAAGAGUAACGGAGGAGCACGAAGGUUGGCUAAUCCUGGUCGGACAUCAGGAGGUUAGUGCAAUGGCAUAAGCCAGCUUGACUGCGAGCGUGACGGCGCGAGCAGGUGCGAAAGCAGGUCAUAGUGAUCCGGUGGUUCUGAAUGGAAGGGCCAUCGCUCAACGGAUAAAAGGUACUCCGGGGAUAACAGGCUGAUACCGCCCAAGAGUUCAUAUCGACGGCGGUGUUUGGCACCUCGAUGUCGGCUCAUCACAUCCUGGGGCUGAAGUAGGUCCCAAGGGUAUGGCUGUUCGCCAUUUAAAGUGGUACGCGAGCUGGGUUUAGAACGUCGUGAGACAGUUCGGUCCCUAUCUGCCGUGGGCGCUGGAGAACUGAGGGGGGCUGCUCCUAGUACGAGAGGACCGGAGUGGACGCAUCACUGGUGUUCGGGUUGUCAUGCCAAUGGCACUGCCCGGUAGCUAAAUGCGGAAGAGAUAAGUGCUGAAAGCAUCUAAGCACGAAACUUGCCCCGAGAUGAGUUCUCCCUGAGACUUAGAGUCUCCUGAAGGAACGUUGAAGACGACGACGUUGAUAGGCCGGGUGUGUAAGCGCAGCGAUGCGUUGAGCUAACCGGUACUAAUGAACCGUGAGGCUUAACCUUACAACGCCGAAG
rnacentral:rRNA from 3 species